rnacentral:rRNA from 1 species
GAUGAACGCUGGCGGCGUGCCUAAUACAUGCAAGUCGAGCGAACAGACGAGGAGCUUGCUCCUCUGACGUUAGCGGCGGACGUGUGAGUAACACGUGGAUAACCUACCUAUAAGACUGGGAUAACUUCGGGAAACCGGAGCUAAUACCGGAUAAUAUAUUGAACCGCAUGGUUCAAUAGUGAAAGACGGUUUUGCUGUCACUUAUAGAUGGAUCCGCGCCGCAUUAGCUAGUUGGUAAGGUAACGGCUUACCAAGGCAACGAUGCGUAGCCGACCUGAGAGGGUGAUCGGCCCAACUUGAACCUAGAACAGGUCCAGGACCCCACGGGAGGCAGGCGUAGGGAAUCUUUCGGAAUUGGCGAAAGCCUGGCGGAGCAACGGCGCGGUGGUUAAUAAAGUCUUUCGAUCGUAAAACCCUUUUAAUAGGGAAAAACAAAUGUUGAAGUAACUAUUCACCGCUUUACCGUACCUAAUCAGAAAGCCACGGCUAACUACGUG